UACAGAGGGUGCAAACGUUGCUCGGAAUCAUUGGGCGUAAAGCGCACGUAGGCGGCCCAGCAAGUGGGGAGUGAAAGCCCUCGGCUUAACCGAGGAAGUGCUUUCCAAACUACUGGGCUUGAAUACUGGAGAGGGUCGCGGAAUUCCCGGUGUAGAGGUGAAAUUCGUAGAUAUUCGGAAGAACACCAGUGGCGAAGGCGGCUCACUGGCCCGUUACCGAC
rnacentral:rRNA from 1 species